CCUCAACAGGGUCUCCUAGCCCAAUUUUGGAAAGAAUCCAGCUGUCUGAUACAAGAUUUUGUAUCCUCAAAUUAAAGAGCUAUUUCCUUCAUGAUUCCCUAGACCAAGAAAACCCCAAAAAUAGAAUGAGAAAAAAAGCUCCUCUUAGUAUAGGAGAAAAUUUAAAUGUAAUGGGGUUAGAAAGAGAGUUCAGGGGGAAUUUUUUUCUUCCCAGUUCAUCCUAGUUACUCCAUCGUUUUGGCCUAGGUGUUAUAAUUGUGACUUUGUACUACUAAGCAAGAGCAUUAAUGGCAAAAUAUUUUGUAAUCAAUCAAUGAGCAAACGAACGUAUGCCACGUUUCCAUCUAUGCAUUAAUCAUGCACAUUGUUUCACGUGACGUGGGGUUCAGAGUCGGUGGUCUGAAAGGCACCAAGUGUCCAUGGUGCGAUUGGUUCAGAUGAGAACAAAAGGUGCCCUUGGCUGGAGGGUGCGCUGUCUCAAAGCUUCAAAGCACUUUGAAAAGAGCAUAUUACAUGUAUUGUAAAUGUCUACUGAAAUAACAGGGACCCGUAAGAGAGAAGAGCAUACCAGAAAUGACGCUAACAGCUAUCUAUUUUUCUUCGGAAUUUUUGAAGCCAUUGUAGCUUUGCCGGUGGCCCCAUAAUGUGAUAUUUGUUAUUGACGGGCCCAAUCGACUUAUAAUUGAGGGUACUACUGUGGGGUUAACAUGAAAACAGAGGACGCCCAAAAAGUACUUGGCUCCUUCCUUUUUGUCCGGAUUUUUCCAACCAGUUUUUCUGUAAGAAUCAGAAAGAGACCACGGAGUUACUUUCCAAAGCAAUGGUAAUAUAAGUCUGGUAAAACACGAUAGAAAGCAAAUCUUAGAUGCAGCAAACGUGGUCGAAAAUAUGAGAAAAGAAUAUGCUGGAAGACAAUCUGAAGAUGACUAGAGAAAACAUGUCCAAACAGAUAGAAAGAAACUUGGAGAGAAUGACAACAAAAUUCAGAAAUAUUAAAGACUCAAUCCUUGUGUUCAAGAAAAUGACUCAGGUGCUGACGUUCCAAGUUGCAGAAAAUGAAAUAAAAUUAAACCAACAUUCGGAGUAAACCAUCAGGUCUACAAACAAAUCUUGAUCGUGUGAGAUUAUAUAAACUGAUUUACCAUAAUAACAAAUUAUCCAACAAGUUAAAUUGAAUUCUCAAAAAGAUGUUUCAAGCUUAACUUCCUCCCAAAUUAUAGAAGUAUUUUGCAAAAGGGAAAUAUAAUAAGUCCCCAUAACAAUCAAACAACAGCCGCGUGGAAGGUUCAAAAUAAACAGAUUUUAGUCACCACAUAAAAUUUGAUGGUGUAUAGAACAACUCCCAAACAUGGGAAAAAUUGAGAACAGGCGACAAAGCUGAUAGAGCUUCCAUGUGUGGAGUUUCAAUACACAGCAUAAACAUGAAGACCAAUUCUAAAUAACGUGCCUCUACACGACAUGGUAAAUGUGAUAAAAGAAUUGUUUACACCAAGAUGCUUCAUAAAUAAUUGCCAACUUUAAGCUAAGAUCAAGUACAAGAUGUCACUAAAUUUAAACUCCCAUAACAUGAACAUAAUUGAAUUAUUUUUACUUUAAUGCUACUUGCCUACAUCACAGAAUCAUCACAACCACUGCCACAAAACAUAAAAUAAACAUUAUGAACAUUCACUUUCAUCUUAGCAACUGUUGCUAUGACAUAUGUACUGGGACCUUCAAAAUCAUUAAGACUGUUAUCAUAACUGUUCUUAGCAUCAUCAGCACCAAGCUUACUGUAUCAUCACUGAACUCGGAAAAGAACCCAAAAGGUCCCCAGUAUCACAACUUCCGUUCCAUUCUGUACUACCAUAACUAUUCCUGCCAGAAAUUUCAUAUCUUCAUUUUGGAGAAAGAAUUUCUCGGGACCACCCUCAUGAUCAUAUAAAACCAAAAUGUUCAAUUCAGGAAUCGAUUUAAGCUAUCAAUGACAAAGUUUAAUACCACUACACUAACAAAUAUAAGGUGCAGUCCAGACAAACAUUUCAUGGCUUAUUUACCCGCAUAAUCAUUCUAGAAGUGUGCAUGGAAUCCAGCAAAAUGAUGUUUUGUUUAUUCAUUAAACAAAAAACUACUUACUGUCAAUUUAAAAUUACAAUUAUAGUAAAGAAUGGCAUCAAUUUCAAGUUGAUGACUAUAUUAUGGAAUGAUAUUGACAAUACAAUAAACGAUAAGCUAAACUUGGACAGAUGAGUCACACACCGCACAAAUUUUUGCAUCAAUAUGUUCUACCAUGCCAGAAACUGUCCAACUAAUGCAUGACAAAUCGCUGUGAAAUGUCAUAUCUGUUCAACAAAUGGAAGUCCCCAAUUUAUCAUGCUGCUUCAGCACCAUAACCACACUUUAAGACCUAAAUAAUGCCAUCCCGACCAAGCAUAUGAUCAAGGUUUGAUUAUCUAGCUGAGAAAAUGAUCAUAAAUUAAUUAGACAAUUUUUUGGUUAAAAUAGAAUGUGACCCUACAAAUUUUCUGGACAAACAAAAGAUAUCACAUGCUAAUCUCAAUCCUAGAGCAAGAAGAUGAAAUUUCAAGUAACAGAAGAACUAAUGUCGGAAAAUCAUUACACUAAGAAGACAUUGCAUAAUUAGGACCAGGUUUCUCUUCAACCAGCUUAGCAAACGCACAUCUGGUCCUCAUAUUGUAAAUUUUCCAUUCUCGUAUAAAGAAACAGGGGAAUUUUUUAUUUUUUAUUUUUUGAUAAAUGAGUUAUCAUGUUCCUGUAAACAACUCUCUACACAAGCGAAUGGUCUCAUCAUUAAUCUCAAAAUGUUUUGAUUCGUAGAAAUGCUGUAUUUUCUACAAUUCAUUCCCAAUAAAUCUCUAAACUUCCAAGAAUCAUGUUUUGUUAAAAAUCCCUUACUUCAAACACCCACAUCAAGGACCCUUCACAGAGCACCAAAGUCACCUAGCUACUAUUUAUUAAUAAUUUUUACUUCAGUUCUAAUACAACCUAAUCCCCAUUAAAUCAAAGAAACCAAAGAUUUUGGAAUCCUUUAGGAUCCUCUUCUCUUCCUAAUAUUUUAAAUCUUCUAUUUCAUAAACAAUGGGAUAAGAAAAUCUUUAGAAUGCAGAAAUUCAAUGAUAUCUUUUUCAUGAAAAUUAAAAAUUUUAUCGUACCAAUUGAUUUGGAAAUUUGCAAGAGAUUUUCAAAACUGUAAAAAGCCAAACAGAGAAAGUUUACAUUGUGGUUUUUCAAAACCAGACAAAACCCAUGCAAUAGAAGACAAAAAAUUGUGGAUGGUGAUUUAUUAGGAUCUUAACUAGAUAUGAGCAAAAACAAAUAGAACUCCAAAAUCUCGGUGUUUCCAGAGCCCAAUUACAUUUCCUUGUUAAAAUCCCAAAAACACUAAAGAUGAAUUAACUAGACAUUAAAUAGUUUUACAGACAGAAGUUGAGGGAAUAUGUUUUUGAGUGAGCAUCAAUACUUCCAAAAUUUUGGAUGGUUGAAUAUCUCUUGCUACUAAUGGUAAAACCAUAGAAAACAAGCAUAGUUAAUAGGGUCUUAAACUUGAAAAGUACAAGAAUUUCUGCAGGGACGACGGAUAUGCAAAUUCUGCAAUACUCAAAGAUAAAUGAUAGUUUCUCCUACUCUCGUAUUCUCCAGAGGCUUCUACUAAACGGUAGCUUCUUGUUUUAGAUGUAAAAUCUAGAAAGAUAAAUGAAUGUUUUGAGUUUUACCGGUUGGAAGAGAAAUUUGAUAACCUAACCUCGUUUGAUUAUGAAAACAGUUAUGACUGCUGUUUUCCCCUUUCUAUCACAUUGUCUUUCUUGACAAGAAAAGUAAGUACAAUACCAAGGCAGUGCCACCAAUGGUAAAAGUAAGGAUUACAAGUCUAAAAGUCAUCUACAUCUUCCUCCGAAGGGGAGGAUGAUCCUUGAACAAGAAAUAGAAGGUCUCGAACCAAAAGACCUCCAGUUGGAGAAGAAGGAAUGCACUCCCCUAAGUCCUCUUGUUUCUCUGGACAAUAAUAAUUGUCUGCUAAAUCCUACAUUCUACUCUAACUCUUAUUUUCUGCUUUAGAUGCUCCUAUUAAUCAUAAUUCUUUCCUCCCUAUAUGCAAUAUGAAGAGUCGGUUUUUCUUGAUUUACUGCCACCAAAAAACCACAUAGGUAGAUUAUCAAAAUCUUCCCUGCGUCAAGCAAUGAUUGUGACCUCCUUCAGAAACAACCCAAAAUCAUGCCAUUAAGAGAUCUGUAUUUGGCCCAAGUUCUGAUCCAUUGACUUCCUAAGGAACUUAAAAAAUAAAAAAUUAUAAUCUAAGGCCACUAGAGGACAUACACUGGAAAUUGAAGGACAACUAUCAUCCAUUUUCAAUUGUCAGUUACUGUAGGCAGCCCAUUCUUCUCUGUUCCUUCCAAAUCAAGAAGAAUUUUUUUUCCAUCUGGGAACAGUCACAAAGAAUACGACGCCAGCAAGGUUACAAUCACCAAAUUUCUGGAUCUGUUUCACCCACUAAAAUGCACAAAUUUCAAAAUUAAUUUUACUAGACAAUACAACUAAUCACAAACUGUAAGAUACAUCUAAAUGAGACAACUCCCAGUACUUGAUUUCUGAACAAUUAUCUUUUAGAUAAGCAGUGCUCUGAAAAUUGUGGCGCGUAACUGAAUCAAGGAGUUGAGAAUUUUUUUUUCCUGUGAUCAGAAACCAACUAUUUAGCUGAAGAGCUCUUUCUUCCUUUCAGCAUUAUGACACAUAAUCCAAAGAACACCAUGUAAUAAAGAGGGAAUCAGAUUAUGUAAGAGAAAUAAUAUCACCUUGUGCAUAUAGUGAACUAAUACCUAUAUUAGUUAAACAGCAAAGGACCAUCUAUAUCCAUAUUGGGAUAAUUAUCACAUUCCACAAAUGUAAAACUUGACAUAAAGCACAGACGAAACAGAGACAAGUUAAAGACUAGAUAACAGCAAAAAUAACAAUAACAUAAAAGCCUAUCAUCGAAUUCACUCCACUUCCUACAUCUGUCAAAUUCUGACAAUUGGCCGUAAUACAACUUAUUGCCAGUAUUGGCCACACUUCUAUAUAUCUAGAGAGAGAGACAGAAAGAGAGAGAGAGAGAGAGAGAGGGAGAUAUACACACAUACUUGCGUACGCACAUAUACACGUAUAUUUACUUCUCACAUCUUAAACUAAACUCACUAUUCUCUAUCUAGACUUUUCAUUUCACUUGGCUCAACUUUGCAGAAUAUCUUCUUCCUACAAUGGAUCCAAGAUUCUUAUCAACACAUAACCAAAGUCUUACACAUAAAUACCAAUAAUUCAUACACGUUUCAAUUUUCGGCAUUAAUCAUCAUAAAAACCAUCGAGGGGCAACUCUUUAAACAAUCGAACCAGGAAUUUACCUUGAUAAACCAUAGAAAGUUCUCGUCAGGAAAAAUGUUAAUGUACAUAAACUACCUAAUUUUCGUGAGACAGAGAUUCAACAACACUUGUCAUUUUCUCUUCUCGACCAAUUUAUGAUGUUUACCAAACAGGUGUUUUCAUGAAUAUUUUGAAUCGCAUGUCAUAAGAUCACCGAGAAACGUUUUGUUUCUGCAAAUUCCAGCAGCGGAAUAUUAACGUCUGCGUAUGAAAAAAAAAAAAAAAAAAAGCACUUACAGACUUUGAAGCUCACUCGAAGAUGAACCCUCCAUGCGAAGUGCGCGAGAAAUAAAUUUUCCCGGUUCCCCUUUUUAUAAGGGCGCAUUUGAAUUUGAGUCUGCCUCCAAUUUUACUUCU
rnacentral:lncRNA from 1 species